UCGUUUCGGACCAUAAUUGAACUAUAUGUUGGAGACCAUAGUAGAAGUCGUUGUGUACAAUUUCGGCCAAUUCAAAUAAAAAUUGAGCUCUUUAGGGGCUCAAGAAAUAAAAUAGGAAGUUCGGUUUAAACGGGAAUUGUAUCAGAAGUGUGAUAGAAGUUGUUGUACAAAAUUGCAGCCAAAUCGGGUCUUUAGCUUUCGGUGUAUGGCAACAAGAUAUUAGAAGGUAGCGUCUAUUCCAGUAUCUACACAUAUUGUAGAUAUUUUUCAUUGAAACCUUGUUGAAGAUUCAUGAUGGUGGGCACACAAAAGUUUGGCACGGCCAGAGUUAAUGCCACGUCCA